UACGUAGGGGGCAAGCGUUGUCCGGAAUCAUUGGGCGUAAAGAGCGUGUAGGCGGCCCGAUAAGUCCGCUGUGAAAGUCCAGGGCUCAACCCUGGAAUGCCGGUGGAUACUGUCGGGCUCGAAUCCGGAAGAGGUGAGUGGAAUUCCUGGUGUAGCGGUGAAAUGCGCAGAUAUCAGGAGGAACACCAAUGGCGAAGGCAGCUCACUGGCCCGUAACUGACGCUGAGGUGCGAAAGCGUGGGGAGCAAACAGG
rnacentral:rRNA from 1 species